rnacentral:lncRNA from 1 species
GGAAGCUUCGAGAGCACCAAAGGUGGGCCAGAGGGGAGUCACGCGUCGCCCAGGCGGCCUCCUUGCGCGGCCUACCCCCUUGCCGCACCCACAGGUCACCUAGGUAGGACCCACCUCCUCUGGUGCCCUACCUUGGCUCCUAUAUUUACCCCCAUGGAGGAAACAUUGAUUCCCGAACCCUUUUCUCCAGAAGCAAUUCCGAUCUCCGCCGCCAUCGCCAACAAGUUUCGGGGGACUAGAAUUCUUGUGUCGGCACCCUGCCGGGACGGGGAAGUGCCCCCGGAUUCAUCUCCAUCGACGUUGCUUCCUCCCUCCAUGAAGCGGGACUAGUUCCUCCUCG